GACAGCAGUCGCCGCGGUAAUACGUAGGGUGCAAGCGUUAAUCGGAAUUACUGGGCGUAAAGCGUGCGCAGGCGGUUAUAUAAGACAGAUGUGAAAUCCCCGGGCUCAACCUGGGAACUGCAUUUGUGACUGUAUAGCUAGAGUACGGCAGAGGGGGAUGGAAUUCCGCGUGUAGCAGUGAAAUGCGUAGAUAUGCGGAGGAACACCGAUGGCGAAGGCAAUCCCCUGGGCCUGUACUGACGCUCAUGCACGAAAGCGUGGGGAGCAAACAGGAUUAGAUACCCCGGUAGUCCCUGUCUCUUAUAC
rnacentral:rRNA from 1 species